GACGAACGCUGGCGGCGUGCUUAACACAUGCAAGUCGAACGGAAAGGCCCUGCUUUUGUGGGUUUCUCUAGUUGCGAACGUGUGAGUAACACUUGAGUAACCUGCCCUUGACUUUGGGAUAUCUUCAGGAAACUUUGGCUAAUACCCGAUAGGAUCUCCUGCUGCUUGGUGGUCGUUGGAUAGUUUCGGCGGUUGGGGAUGGACUCGCGGCUUAUCAGCUUGUUUGUGGGGUAGUGGCUUACCAAGGCUUUGACGGGUAGCCGGGCUGAGAGGGUGACCGGCGAAAAUAGGACUGAGAUAAGGCCCAGACUAGAACGGGAGGCAGCAGUGGGGAAUAGUACAGAAUGGGAGGAAGCAUGAUGCAGAAAAGCAGGGAGGGGGAUGAGGGGAUUGGGGUUGGAAAGAGAAGUAGGAUGAGACGAAGAGAGAGUGACGGUAAUGGGUAAAGAAGCACCGGCUAACUACGUG
rnacentral:rRNA from 1 species